GAUGGGGAAGAGAGAGUGAGGGUUCUUGUUGAGGAAAGAGAUGCUGCCAUUUUUCUGGUCUGUUGGAUAAUGGGAGAGUGAGAGACGAAGAGAGUGAGGUUUGGAGAAGAAGGAUAGGAUAAGAAAAGAAGAAGGUUUGUGCCUUUAUGUGACAGAGGCGUUAAUGUUAUGGGUUGUAUAUAAUUUUGAUGGACCGAAUUAUCCUCUUGAACAUUGCCAUGUUACCUUUUUGGUUGGAUUGGCCCAUUGGGCUUGUGUUAAUAGAAAGGAUAAACUCUUGAUCUGAUUCUUUAAUUUUACUGAAUAUUCAAUUUGAUACAAAAAUUAACUUAAAGACAUAAUUCUUAAUUUAUAAUUAACUAAUUUUUGAAUUAAUUUAAAUUUUUUAUAAUCAGUUUGUCUCGUUCUUUAAAAAAAAAAUAAAUAUAAAAAUAUUUUAAAUAAUAAAAUUGAUAUUUUAUUACUUUUAUUAAAAAAAUAUGUUAAAUUACUUACAAAUUCAAAUUUUACGUCGUAGAUUUUAGUUCAAAUUGGUCAUUUAUAAAAAUUUAAAAAUCAAAUUGAGCAUUUAUCUUAAUUGGAAUUAGAAGAAGCGAUCCAUACGAAGACGAGUUGGCAACGAAUGAGCUUAUUGAUGGCUAAUCAUCAUUAAUAAAUUAAUGGACUCGAAAAGAAAUUCUAAUUGAUAAAAAAAUACAUAAUUUUGAUUGACAAAAUAAAAAAGGAUUGACCAAAUUAAAAAAAAAAAAGUAAAAAUUCAAACUUUGUUUAGUAAUUUAGUAUUCAUGAUUGAUAGCUUGAUGAAUGCAAAAUAAAUAUUACUAAUAAUUUAUGGAUGUUUAUUAAGUUUAAGCAUCAAAAUACGAUGUUACUCAUUUUUCUUUCCUUAAAAAAAUGAAAAAUUUUGUUCAUUUCCUGAUAUGUCGCCACGUGCACAUCCUAACAAAAGAAAGCUUUACAGUCAACGGAUUGUAGUGGAACUUUCAAACCAACAAAACACUCUAACGUUCCUCGGCUUCAAAUUUGAAUCUAAACCAUCCUAACCGUCCAUCUAAUCUCUUUUAACCAUCCGAUCAUUCCCGUCACACAUCUCUCCAAACUCCCCCCAUUUUCCCUCAAAAACACUUUAUUUCAAAUCUCUACUGCUCCUCUCUCACUCUCGCCCUCUCAAAAUUUUCUCCCCAUCCAAACAGCUGCCCGUUACCCUUUAAAUCUUUAUUACCUCCCAAAAUUCCGAUUUCAUCCCCCAAAAUCUUGCCCUAAGUUUUCCACUGGCAUAAAAAAGUUAACGCUUCAACUUUUUCUCUUACUAAAGAACAAGAGAGCUAUAUAUAUAUCUAUGGCAGAAGAAUGGUUAAUAUCAUAUGAUUGUGAAGAACUUUGCAUUUAGAGCCAAAAGUCAUUAAUUAAGCUAUGGCAGGGAUAUAUGAAAUUUUUUUUUUUGUCAUAUCAUAGCCAAAAGCUUUUUUUUUUUUUUUUAAUUUGUUCAGAUUUUCUUUUUCCAAAUUUUGUUGCUAAUUUCUUGUUGCAGAUAUCAAAACUACUGGUAAUGUGGUUGAGCUUGUUUCAUCGAAAUUCCAAUGGAGAAUUAAAAAAUUUUCCGACAUUACUGACAAGGAACUGUAUUCAGAUAUAUUCAAUGUUGGUGCCUCUAAAUGGUAUAAUUUCUUGGCUACCUGUAGCUAAUAUUACUAGAAUAAGCACUUGGGUUAGUUUGUUUCAAAUGAAUUAAACUAGAUUAAACGGAAUAAACAGAAUUUUUGAAUAAAAAAAAACUAAUUUAACUAAACCAGUUCGAUUUGAUUUUUUUUUUUUUAGUUAGCUCAAUUUAGGUUUUAAAAUAUUUGGAUUUCCCGAUUUAAUAUAAUAAAAACCGAACUAAACAGGAAAUUUUUAAUUUUUUCUAUCAAAACUAAAAUCAAACUGAAUCAUAUAAUUCAAUUCCAUUGGUUUUUUUCGUGUUUUGUUGAGUCCUAAAUAUUAUAUUAUGGGUCAAAAUCUAUGAGUAGUUGCAUUGGCUCAACGAAUAUAAGUUUGUAAUAUAAUUUUUUAUGCAUGAAAAACUGAAUUUUUUUUAAAAAAACAAAGCCUAAAUUAUCAUUCAUUAAUCAGUGAAAGUUCUUAUUUUGUUUAAUUCAAAAUUAUUAUUUGCAGUAACAAUUCCUAAAUUGAUACUUAAUGUCUUCUUGUUAAAUAUCUUCCUAUUUUUGUUGUUUUUGUAAAUUUAUCAGGCGUUUGCUUGUUUACCCAAAAGGAAUCAAAGUAGAUGAUUAUCUGUCAAUAUUUCUGGCUGCUGCUGAUGCAACAAAUUUGCCUUCUGGAUGGAGCAGAAAAGCAAAUUAUAGUUUGGCAGUUAUUAAUCAAUCCAAUAGCAAGUCUACAGUCAGAAAAGGUAAUUGAUUUAACUUUAAGUUCCCUUUUUAUUAGGUCCAAGGAAAACAUUUUUUGCACAGUUAGACACAGCUACCGUGCAAAACGGGUGAAAUGAUUAUAAUGUCCUUCGAGAAUGUUGAUUAAUUAGUUUUAAUGUUACCGAUAUUAUCUAGGGUGAAAUUGAAAUAAAACAUGUAUUGUGUCUGGUGUAACCUGCGCCGUUUAGUAGGCUAGCACCUCUCUAAUACAAUCACUCCCUCUAACUAAUCUUUAUGAAAAUGUAUAAAAGUUUCUAAAUUGAAUUAUCAACAAGUAUUCUAUUAUGCUAAUUAAUCAGAAGUGGUCUUAUUGGACUUUUUACUAAUGUAAAGAGCGGAUGAUUUCAGAUCCGAAUUUAUCGACAGGAGGAGGAUUUACCCUCUGUAAUUAUAUCUAAUGCAUAACCGAUUUUGAUAUUAUACAUGUUCACGUCUUGAAUUCUGGUGAGGCUAAGCCAAUACUAUAUAUAUGGCUUAAACUUUAUGUAUAUUUUGCAGAAUCAACAGAUGAAUUCAAUGCAAAAGCAAUUAAUUGGGGUUACAGAUCUUUUGUUCCUCUUAGGAAAAUAAGAGAUCCUAAAGAAAAUUAUCUUGUGGACGAUACUCUUAUAAUAGAAGUUGAACUUACUGUCAGCGAUGUUAUGCAUCCUUCAGUAACAGUCGAGCCAAAAAAACCUGAACAACAAAGCAUCCAGGCACCACCACCUCCUCCACCACCUCCUCCAGUGAUCGCUAAGGAAAAGGAACUUCCAAAGGUAAUUCUUUCCAUUAAAAGACAAGUUUUCUUGAAUUUUCUUUCUGAAAAGAAAAUAACAUUUUUUUUUUUGGCUGCCAUGACAGGAUCCUUCCGUCGAGCCUAAAGAAUCCUCCCAAGAUGUGCAAACUAAAUCUAAGAAUCUCCUAACAGAGCUUUCAAGCAGAACUACAACCCAAAGAUCAUCUUCAACUGAUGAUAUUUCAGUUUCACCUCAGCCUGAUAAUUUGCAGCAAGAAAAUGAAGCAUUGGCAGGAUUCUUUAACAUGUCAUUAGAGGCUAUCCAACAGGCUAACGUCUUUGGCAAUAUUGAAGAAAUAAUCCGUACACUUAUUCCAAGUACAAACGAUUUGCAAAAGAAAACAGUUCUUGAAGAUCUUGCCUCUCGAUUAAAAGAAUUUCCAGAAAUAAUCCCUACUGCUAAAGCCACUGUAGAAGCAGCUGAGAAUCGUAGAAAAUCUCUUCCGGAGAAAACAACAAAGCUUGAUUCAAAAUUAGCAGAAAGUCGAGAGAAACUUAGUUCCUUGGAUUCUGAGCACUCAAAAAUUUCAAAUGAAGUGGAGAAAAUUGAGACUGAAAUUCAACGGUUAACUGCUGAGAAAGAGAAGCUUCUCGUCGAAAAGAAAAAUGUUGUUGCUCAGCUGGAGAAAGCUAAUCCAGAAGCAUUAAAAGACUUGGAAGAAUGGAAAAAGCUUGAAGAGGAAAUGAAGCAAGCUAAUGCUGAGUGGCUUGCAGCAAAAGAGAAAUCAGCAUUAGCUAAUAUUCGUUGGAAACUUUACAAGGAGGAGUUAGGUCUUUGAAAUGCUUAAUGUCCCUUUUAAUGAAUUGAAUUAUGCAAUCUUUUUUUCUUUUGGAUUGAAUUUAUUCAUUUUAUUGUGCUUAAUUUAUAAUAUCAUUGAAAUAAAUAUUAUGUUUUAUAAUUUCAAAAAAAUAAUGGAUUUAUUUUAAUUAUCAUGAAUGAGGAGGGAGCUAGGUUUAAUUUCAGCAUGUGAAUAAAAAUUUUAGUUUAAAAUUACUUUUUGAUUACAAUUUCUUCCCAUUCCUCUUUUUCCUUUUUCUUUUUUUUAGUUUACUUUCUAAUCUUAUAGUUGACAAAUUAGUUAAUUAACAAGAGGGUUAUAUAAUUAGAAAUAGAAAGUGAUAAAAUAUAAGUACUAUUAAAAUUAAUUUUUAAAAUUGGAAAUCUUAGUUCGAAAUCUCACAUAUUGCGAAAAGUGUAAAUAUAUAUAUUAAGGAGAUUAUACUUAUUGAGACCGGAUCUAUUGCUCCACUGAUAAAUCAAAUCAAUGAAAAUAUGUAUUUUUAAGAAUUGUUAUUAUUUUAUCUUCUUUUUUCUCGGUUCAUGGUCAGAAAUUUCUUCGUUUCAAUAAAAAUUUUUAUUUUUAUUGGUUUGGUCCAUGAAUAGAGACAUGAAACCGAUCUACGCAAGUCAAUCCAUUACAAAGAAUGUUAUGAAAAGUGUAUGUUUAUAGGUUAUUAUAUUAGAGAUUAAAUGUGCCUAGAGCCUAUCUAUAGCCCGGACCAAAUCAGUGACAAUAAAAAUUUUUAAAACUGUUUUUAUUUUUUUAUUUCAAUAAAUAACCCGAACAAAAAUUUAUUUUUCCAUUAGAUUACUCCAUACUCACACUAAAAGAUAAAAAUGAUAUUUUAAAAUCAUUAAUAUUUUAUUUAAAAUAUAUAAUAUUUAAUGACAAUGAAAAAUUAAUAAAUUAAUUUUACAAAAUACAACUUUUAAUUAAUGUAUUUCAAUGUAAUAAAAGGACUAAAUAAUAAUUUACCAAGGAUGUCUUGGGAACUAGACUAGGCCUGAAUUGAAAAUCAUAGUCGAAAAUGGCAGGACCAAACCAGUAGUAAAACAUAAACGAGAGACUGACUCCACUCCACAUAUCCCCCCUCUCUAUCCAUGGCUGCUUUUUUUUCUUGCCGUUCUAUCCACUGUUUCUCGUCUCUCUUUCCUUCCCCUUCUUCUUCGCUUCCAACUACUCAUUUUCUUCCACAAUUUCUCUCAGCAAAACCAGAAUUCCCCUCUCUUUCCCGUUUCUGCUGCAGCCACGGAGAAUUCCUUGACCGACCCACAAAUUUCUUUCUCCACCCAAUUUUCUUGUUCAGUGGCUUCGAAAGGCCUUUGGAUACCCAAACUGCUCUCGCAACAGUCAGUGUCCUUGCCGCCAUUUCUCUCUCCCUCUUCUUGGGCCUCAAGGCAAUUUCCCAUUUUUCCUUUCCCUUCGUUUGAUGCAUUUAUCCCGAGUAUUAAUUCCUUUUAUGGGUUUUGCAGGGAGAUCCUGUGCCUUGUGAUAGGUGCGCCGGAAAUGGUAAUUCUUUCUCUUUCUCUUUGACUUUGUCUCGCUUUCUAGCUCUUCUAGUUGUAUUGUAUGCAUUGAAAGCUACUUCCUGUUUAAUUAUGAAUAACGAUAAAAAUUGCAAGUGGAUUAUGAGUAGGAAUAAAUUUUAUUCCAUCAAAAUUUUCCAAGCAUGCCUUUUUAGUGAAGUUCAUGCUAUUAUAAUAGCUAAUUAAUUGGUAAUUUUUAAUUUUUUUUCUUACUGUAGUUCCUGUCAAACUCUAAUGAUUUAAGCCUAUUUCAUUAUCUGGCAUACCUGUGCUUGAAAGCUCCUAUUUUAGAUGAUUAUUAAAUGUAUAUUGUUAAGGUGUAUAACUAGCAACUUUACAGGAUCUGAGUUCAUCAUCCCAAGUCAUAGACAUUGAUCAACAUUUUAUCUUCGAAUAGUAUGCAGAACUGUUGUAAGCGCUAUUCAAAAUAAUAGGCUUAAUUUGAACCAUGAUCAUUAAACUUAUCGUUACAUUUUAGCAUAAUCACAAGAAUUCAUUUUGUUUUAGAAAAAUCACUUAUCUUUGAUUUCAUUUUAUUUCAAGAUCGUCAUUUUCAAAUUUCAAAUUUUUAUGUGUUAACUGAAUAAGAAAGUUCUAUAUCAUAUAAACUAUACUUAAAAAAGAAUUGUACUUUGUUAUCAUGUAAACAUUUUUUAGCUGAAUUCGACCAAAAUCUAGCUGUAGUAAUGUGUUGACGUUAACGAAUUUGAGAGUAUUGAUAAAAAUUGGAAGUUAAUGAAUGUGUUGAAGUCCAAAAAGUAGUAGCUUCAACCAUGAACUGUUGUGAUUUCUUAGUACUUUGCCUGCAAUGCAUAAGAAAGUACUAGUAUUAUAAAUUGCUAACCUCAUCCAUUUUGAUGUUUGUAGACUGAUUUUUCUUCUUCUUCCUUCUAAAGUGUGCCAAAUUAUUGCAUGACCUCAAGAUAGCACAAAGAUGCAUUCGUAACAUCUCUGUGCUAUGUAUAAAGGUCUACAUACGCUCCUGCACUAAUGCCUCCCUCUCUCUCUGUGCUCUGGGUCGUGCAGAGUUGGGGAGGAAGCAAACUUAAUAACACUUACAGAUUAUUAUUGCAGUUCAGUUGCCAAAAUAUUAAGUGGAAUGAACUCAGUUUCAGGGUUUGUUCUUUCAAAGUGACCAGUUUGAGUACAUUAAUUUCAUAAUUGGGUUACGUAUCACUGAAAUGAGUCGGUCUAAAAUGGUCAACUUUUAUGUAUACAUUGUUUUUGGAAAUUAAACCAGCCUUGUAUUUUAUCAAGGUUAUACAUUUCUGCUCAUCAUAUUCAUUGAUUACUAGAUGGUAUUGAGUGAGAACCACUGGUUAUAAUGAUUAUUAAUGUUAACAGGCGGCACAAAAUGUGUGUUUUGCAAUGAUGGCAAGAUGAAGCAAGAAACAGGACUGGUAGAUUGUAGGGUGUGCAAGGGUGCAGGUAUUACUUCCCAAGUUCAAAUACAUAUGAAACUGUUGUAACUUGUAAGCACAAGGAGUACCAAGUGAUAUCUUAUAUAUUGAUCUACCCGAUGAAUUUACUGUGUGACAUGUAGAAGAAUCAGUUUAUGCUUGCUUUAAGUCUGAUUUUGCUUGUUUACAACAAGUUAGUUCACUGUUUGCGCACUGAUUAUAGUUAUUACCGUUGAGGUCACCUAUUUAAAGUAAAUUUUGCACAGGCAAAAUGGAAUAUGGCUUUCAUUAAAAAUGAUAUUCUUUUAGUACUAAUUGGUUCUUGAUCGUGAUGUUAGAAGUGAUUUCUCAUUUUGUUUAAGUUUUAAAUUCCAUUAUGUAGGACAUUUUGGAUAUUGAAGUACUUGAAAUGUAUUUGGGCCUUCUAUCUGCUUAUUUUUUCCAAUUUGUAAUCUUGUUGCGUCUUUGUAGGAUUAAUACUAUGCAAGAAAUGUGGAGGUUCUGGAUAUUCUAGACGCCUAUGAGCUUGAGUUCAGCUCUGCAGUCUGCACCAAUCACAUAUUUUUGACCCAGAAACAAAUUUACUGAAGCUUCAAUUCUUUGCCAGACCUUGUUUUAUUCUUUUUCCCCCUCUAUAUUCUGUAAAUUAUUUCCCUUCCCUUGUGUCCAAUUUGUGAUUAUAAUGAAGUCUCCAUGACUGUAAUGUUACUGACUCUAAUACAACUCUUUGUUUGAAUUUGACAUCAAUCAAUUUUUAAAGCCAUCUCCAGCUGGUUAGAUAAUUUCCAAAGAAAAUGAUGUUAUUGAGUUUCUACCUUUUGUACUUUUUUUUUUCUUUUAAUGAGAGCUGAGAUUGAAAACGAAUAAUUUAUAUAACUGAUUCCAAGAACUAAGGUUUGGUUGUUAUUAUCUUUUUCUUUUUAUUUUUCGUAUUCUUCAACUGGAAAAAUUCUUGAAAUAUUGAUAAAUUGGCUGUUUAAAAGGAAAAAUAAUUUCUCUGUAUAGUAGUAUGCUUCUUUACGAAGGAUGUGGAAGAGCAAUACUGAUUUUUCUUCUAGAGGCAGAUUUUCAGAGACCAUCCAAUCUUAUCAAUCACCCGCUCCUUUAGAAACGCAAAGAUACAAAAAACAACAGGACAUAGACAAACCUCGUAAAGAUGACACACCCUCUAACCGAAAGCCACCUCUGUUUUUAACUCUUUCUUUGUUGUUUCUUUCUUUCUUUCCUUCCUUUGCCUUCUAUAUUUCAUCCCCCAAAUGCUUCAUUUUUCCCUCACUAACACCCACAAAAAUGUCUGACUCUGCUCCUUAUGAGGUGGAUGAAUGCAGAGGAGUCCUUCGCGUUUACAGCGACGGCUCUAUCUGGCGUUCUACUGAGCCAAGCUUUAAGGUUCCUGUGCAUGACGAUGGUUCUGUUCUAUGGAAAGAUGUCCUUUUUGAUCCUUUGCAUAAUCUUCACCUCCGCCUCUACAAGCCAGCUUCACCUUCUUCUUCCGCUAAGCUACCAAUCUUUUAUUACAUCCAUGGCGGCGGUUUUUGCAUUGGUUCUCGAACUUGGCCUAACUGUCAAAACUACUGCUUUAAGCUUGCUUUGGAGCUUCAAGCUGUGAUAAUUUCUCCAGACUACCGAUUAGCGCCAGAAAACCGGCUUCCGGCUGCUAUUGAGGACGGGUUCAUGGCUGUGAAAUGGCUUCAAGCUCAGGCUCUGGCCGAGGCGGCGGAUUCGUGGCUGACUGAGGCGGCAGAUUUUGGUAAGGUUUUUAUUUCUGGUGAUUCCGCCGGUGGGAAUAUUGGUCAUAAUUUGGCUGUUCAGCUUGGGGCUGGUUCGCCGGAUUUGGCUCCUGUUCGGGUGAGGGGUUAUGUGCUUUUGGCUCCGUUUUUCGGUGGGACUGUUUGGUCUAAAUCAGAAGCUGAAGGACCAAAAGAUGCUUUCCUCAAUUUGGAGCUCAUUGACAGGUUUGUAAAGUACUUUUCUGCCAAAACUUCAAAACAAUUGCUUGGGUGAUUCAUAAGUGGAAAAUGUUAUUAUUUUGUUAAACAAAUUAGUGUGGUUCUUAAUUAUUAUUUGACAAAGUUUAUCUUAUAAGAAUUCUCGGCUUUUCAUUAAUUUGAUGAGCUAACGUGAGUAGCGAGAUAAUGACUAAAACCUUGCCAUAUAAAAUUUUUGGUGAUGACAUAUGAGAUUAUAAUGCCAUAUAUGACUCUUAAAUUUUCAUAGUGUUACAUAUAAUUUAAUUAUUAGUUAUGUUGUUAUAUAAAUAUUGAUAUUAAUUAUCAUAAUUGAUACAUAUUAGUAAAUAAUUAUAAUUAUUAUAAUAUUGUAACCUAUCUUUCUCAAUUAAAAUUACAUAAUAUCUUAAUUGUCAUUCAAUUAUUAUAUUAAUGUGUAUUAAAUAAUUAUAAUAUUAUAACUUAUUUUUAAUUAAAAAUUAUCAUAAUUUUGAUGUUGAUUAUCGUAUUAAUAUGUAUUAUAAUUUAUCUUUUAAAUUAGUAUUAUUAUAAUAUUGAUAUUGAAUAUCAUUAUAAUCAAUUAUAAUUAUCAUUUAUUAUUAUGAAUAAAAAUUUUAUAUUUAAAAGAAUGAUAGAGGAGGUUAAUAGUGAAAAUAUUUAUUAAUAGUUUUAAUAAUAAUGAAUAUCCAAACGUUUCAAUGUUUAUUUGUAUUAAAAUUGCAAUAUAUAUUUUUUUAUUAGUUUUAAUGAUAAUACAUUGAAUUGCCAUUAAUUGCUUAUUAGUGGAUUAUAAGUAGAGGAAGCUCUUUGAGGUUUGAUAAUAUCAAUUUUUUUUUUUUUUUUUUUUUUUUUGUAAUUUUAAUAAUUCUCAUGCAAUUUCUUUUUCACAUUGAUAUAUAUUUUUUUUCUCUUCUAAUUUCUAUAAAUCUAUCAAAUUAAGAAAAUUUUGAUAAAUCAUAAGAGAAAACAGUUUAUAUGAAAUUAUCAUUAAGAAUCUAUGAUUGAAUUUCAAUUGUCCAUUUUAUUUUAUUUAUUUCAUUAUUUUUAAUAUCAUCUAAGAAAGUUUAUUAAUUCAAUAAUAAAUUAAAAUCAAUGAUUUUUAAUAUAUAUUUCCUUUUCUUUCAAUUUUAUUAUAGACAUUAAUUUUUAUAUAAUUAGUAUAAUGUUUUGAAUUUGAAAUAGAUGUUUUUAAUUAAUAAUUUUCAACAAAAUUAACAAAUAUAAAAUUAUAAAUAAUUGAAAUUAUAAAUUUUUUAUUAAUUAAAUUUUAUAUUUUAAAAUAUUAUCACAAUAUCUCUAAGAUCAUAAGAUCAUGAAUAAAAAUAUUUACUGUGCAUAGCACAAAGCAUGCUUGCCAGUGUUUUAUUAUUUUCUUACAGCAUACAACAUUUUUGGAUCUAACUGUGCUAAAUUAUGUUUAGGUUUUGGAGACUAUCCAUUCCCAUAGGGGAUACAACUGAUCAUCCUUUAGUGAACCCAUUUGGACCACAAAGCAAGAGUCUUGAAGCAGUAGAACUUGAUCCAAUCUUAGUAGUGAUGGGAGGAAGUGAUCUGCUGAGAGAUCGAGCCAAGGAUUAUGCAGAGAGACUGAAAGCUUGGGGAAAGAAGAUCGAAUACAUUGAGUUUGAAGAACAACAACAUGGGUUUUUCACCAUUGAUCCUAACUCAGAACCAGCAAGCAAGUUGAUGCUAAUUAUCAAAACUUUCAUUUCUGAAAAUUCCUGCUAAAGAAUUCCAUCUGUAAGCUUACAUAUAUUUUAUAUAUGUGCUUGUCCUUCUUAUUUGAUCUGCAAUGUUUCCUCAAUUCAUAUGAAUAAAAGUUGCAAAUGUUAAUGCUAAAAGGCUUUUAUGAUUUAACACCAUGAAAUUUAAGUUAAAAGCUGUGUCCAUUCCAACACCCACAUAAGGUUUCAUGGAGAGAUUACUGCUGCAAAUCGAGAAACAGGAUGUGGCGAUUUCAAUGAGAAAUCAAGAAAAACAGUGAGAUGAAUGAGAAAUCAAGAAACACAGUGAGAUGAAAGCUGCUGAUACCUAUGUUGCACGGAAACGGGAACAAAUAAUUGUGAAAACAGAAAAACUAAGAAUCGUGGAAAUACGGGAAUUUUACACGAAGAAACGUUAUCUUAUAUGAAGAAAGGGGUAUGUAGACGUGAAAACAUUUCCAAAACAGAAUGCCCAUGGCAAUAUAAUUUCACACGAAGAACACAAUUUUACACGAACAAACGCCCAUGGCAAUACAAUUUUCCACGAAGAAACAGUAAUGUACGGGGAAAUAGACAAGUAAAAACAUUUCCGAAAAACGAAAAUGCUCAUAGCUAGAUAAUGCCCGUAGCUAGAUGUUUUUCGAGCAUGAUAGGCCGAUAGUAUAGUCCCGAAAUGGGGAAUUAAAACCAUGUUUAACGUUGAGGGUAACAGCAGACAUAAGCGAACAUUCAUGCUUCUUACCCUGAAAAAUACAAGAGCUGCAUAUUGUUUGGAGGCAAACACAUUACUAAAAGAGGAAAUCUGGUUUUUUGCAAUUUGUCCUGUAUUUUUCAACAAUAUCCCAGGAAAUUUUUGCAGCAAAAUUCACUUUCUCAUUUUACUUUUUCAAUAAGAUUCUCAAUCUGUAAAAUGCUCAAUGUGGGAAAAGGAUUUCAUGCUAAUUUCUUAGAUUUUACUCAAACCCAUAAAUCCUAAAACACUGGAAAUCCACAUUCAAUUACAAAUUCUAUGAAUUCAAAUACAUUUUUCAAAUUAACAAAAAUAGAACACUACAAAUCUCCCCAGAAAAAAAAAAUACAAAAUUAACCUUGUUUCAAGCAAUAGACACCUUGGCUCCAGCCUCUUCAAGCUGUUUCUUAGCCUCCUCUGCCUCUUCCUUUGAAACUCCUUCUUUGAACUUCUUAGGCAAGCCUUCAAUCAAGUCCUUAGCUUCUUUCAAAGCCAAACUAGUCAAUGCCCUAACCGCUUUAAUCACUGCAAUUCUCGCGUUAGAUGGCACUUCAUUGAUCACCACAUCGAAUUCCGUCUUCUCCUCCACCGCAGCCGGUCCAGUAUCCGCAGCUGCUCCUGGUGCAGCGACGACAGCGGCUGGGGCAAAGGCGGCAGCGGAGACUCCGAGCUUGUCCUGGAGGUAGUCGACCAGAGUGCGAGCUUCCUCGAGAGUUAAAGAGGAGAUUUCGGUGCCGAGUUUUUCGAUUUUCUCGGGAGCGGAAACGGCAGCGAUGGGCCGGAGGUGGGUGGACCUGUGAGUGAGAGUGGAGGAGGCGAAAUUGGAGCGGAAAGGGAAUUCGACGAAGAAUUGUUUAGUGGUGGUGAGUGUGGGGUAAGAGGAUGGGGAAGAGAGAGUGAGGGUUCUUGUUGAGGAAAGAGAUGCCGCCAUUUUUCUGGUCUGUUGGAUAAUGGGAGAGUGAGAGACGAAGAGAGUGAGGUUUGGAAAAGAAGGAUAGGAUAAGAAAAGAAGAAGGUUUGUG
rnacentral:lncRNA from 1 species